CGCCAAAAUGUUGAAUUUGUGCUCUGAAAAAAAUUGUGGAAGUUGGGUAAGUGUGAGAGACAUGUACCCAACAUUAGAAUUCCAAACGUGAAAUGAAAUGUAGGAAAAGAGAAGCGAGAAUUGAAGGGACAACAGCAGCUAAAGUGUUUGGUAAACAUUGGCUGUGUAGAUAUCGUGAUUGAAAAUAUUGGAAUUAUCGUGUUUGCUCACUGCAUUUCAUCAACAGUAAGGCAUUAUUCGUGUUUUUUCUUGAUUCCUUUGGUAUCUAAAAAUUCUCAGAAGUGAUGAAUCUGGCUGUAAAAUUUUCUUCAGAUGCGUUUUCAUUUUGUACGUAAAAACCCACUUGUGAACCAUGGGCGAUUUAAAAAAAAAUACAGCCAGAUUUAUCACUUCUGAAACUUUUUAGAUGCCAAAGGAAUCAAGAAAAAACACUAAUAAUGCUUUAGUGUUGAUGAAAUGUAGUGAGCAAACGGCCAAUGUUCGCUAAGCACUCUGUCUGUUGUCCCUUCAGCUCUCACUUCUAUCUACCGUCAUUUCUCCUCACUUUUGGAAUUCUGAAGUAGGCUAAAUGUCUCACAUGCUCAUCCCGAUUUCCAUAAUUAUUUGCAGCGCAAAAAUGGACAUUUUCGGCGGGUUUUAACGGACCCGCUACGUUCAGAUUCAGAUUCAACUUUAAUUGUCAUUGUCAGUGUACAGUACAGAGACAACGAAAUGCGGUUAGCAUCUCCCUGGAAGAUGGAGUUGGAAACAAUGGAAAUAGUCAUCAAGAGGCAGUGAGCAGCAGAACACAACAAGACGCAACAAGACACAACAAGUAAAAACUUAAUAAAUCUCAUCUUUAAAAUUUAAAUUGUUCUUAUAUUUCAAGAGUCAUUCACAUUUUAAACUUUAAUAAAACCUUUUUGUACUUUUAAUGCUGUGUUCUUCAUCCCAAUAGAACCUAAUAUGCAGGAAUGGCUGCUCUGUGGGAGAGCCACUGAGAGUGCAUGGGGGGGGGAGGUUGUUUGGAGAUGCACUGAAUGUGUGAGUGGGAGGGGAAUGGCAAGGAGCAGAGUGUGGGUGGGGGGUGUGGGCUGAAGGUAGGUGAGGUGACUGAGUGAACUGCCAGCGUACAAGGCGUGAGUGACUUCACUGCCAGCCCACGAGCCGUGAGUUAGUGAACUGCCAGCCCACCAGCUGUAAGUGACUGAACUGCCAGUCCACCCUCUUCAUCCUCCUCUCUUACAGUCUCACCUGUUUUGGGCAGAAUUUCUGGCAGUUUCUCAGCCGCCAGCCUGCCAGGUCCGAGUGAUUGUACUGAGCUGCCAUCCCUCAGUGACUGAGCUGCCAGCCCUCAGUGACUGUU